UAAGCGGAGGAAAAGAAAUUAACUAAGAUUGCCUUAGUAACGGCGAGUGAAGUGGCAAAAGCCCAAACUGGAAAUCUUCAUGCUUCGCAUGACGAAUUGUAAUCUAAAGAGUAGAAGCUCACCUGUUGAUGUCGCAGAAGUGCCUUAGAACGGGCCGCCAGAGAGGGUGACAGCCCCGUAUGUGGUGACAUUAGCUAACGAGCUCUGCUUGAAGAGUCGGGUAGUUUUGAAUUGCUGCCCUAAGUGGGAGAUAGACUUCUUCUAAGGCUAAAUACAUGUGGGAAACCGAUAGCGAACAAGUACUGUGAAGGAAAGAUGAAAAGAACUUUGAAAAGAGAGUCAAAAGACUUGAAAUCGUUGAGAAGGAAGCGGUAGAAAAUUAUUCUCUGCGGUAGCAAAGUGUUCCACACGAGUAUUGCGGCUGUAUAGUACGUCAAAGGCUUGCAGUUGUACGUGCUUGUUGGAUUGCGGAGCUCACGUAGUGAGGCAAAAUGAGGUGUUAAAUCCACAAAAGCUUCUUGGAUCUGGGACUCUGCGGAGUUCAAUCCUGGUCUGCUGGUGGGCUUAACGCCUGAGGAUGCUCUGUGCGAUUUUGCCAAAAUGGUUUUUACCGACCCGUCUUGAAACACGGACCAAGGAGUCUAAC
rnacentral:rRNA from 1 species